rnacentral:misc_RNA from 1 species
CGCUCUUAUUAUUUGGUGGUUAUGGAGAACAAGAAAUGGUAGACUAACUGCAAUUAUGACAGAACCUUGGGUUGUUUUCCAUGGACUUUCUUUUACUUGGGUUCUGGGCAUCAAGAAACUGAUAGUGGAGAUUGAUUCCCAACUGGUUUUAGACUUUCUUGUUCAAAGAGGUACUUGUAAUGAUAUGCAUCUUAAUUUAGUAAAGUGUUGUUAUGAG